UAGGGAAUCUUCGGCAAUGGACGAAAGUCUGACCGAGCAACGCCGCGUGAGUGAAGAAGGUUUUCGGAUCGUAAAACUCUGUUGUUAGAGAAGAACAAGGACGUUAGUAACGGAACGUCCCCUGACGGUAUCUAACCAGAAAGCCACGGCUAACUACGUGCCAGCGGCCGCGGUAAUACGUAGGUGGCAAGCGUUGUCCGGAUUGAUUGGGCGUAAAGCGAGGGCAGGCGGUUUCUUAAGUCUGGUGUGAAAGCCCCGGGCUCAAGCGGGGAGGGUCAUUGGAAACUGAGAGACUAGAGUACAGAAGAGGAGAGUGGAAUUCGAUGUGUAGCGGUGAAAUGCGGAGAUAUAUGGGGGAACACCAGUGGCGAAGGCGGCUCUCUGGUCUGUAACUGACGCUGGGACUCGAGAGCGUGGGGAGCAAACAGG
rnacentral:rRNA from 1 species